rnacentral:tRNA from 1 species
CCCGGCCUGGUGUAAUGGUAACACAGCAAAUAACAUUCAGGAAGCCUAUCAUAGCCUGAGCCCCAUGUGAGGGGGCGGCAGAUCUGGGUUCGAAUCCCGGGGCUGGGA